AUAGCUUCAAUUAUCCUGUCAAAAAAAAGAAAGUACAGCAUUUAUGUUCUGUGAAAGGGCUUUGGUGGAGGUUUGAUGUUUUUUUUUUCACAGACAUUACCAAAUUGACAUUCAGACCUUCACAAAUGACAAACAGAAAGCCACACUGUUUUUAUUCUGAGCAUGAAGCACCAGAUUUCAGCAAAUAACCUUAGGAUCUAAUGAGGAGUUUAAACUGCUCUGUGCUAAGACCUCAUUCACUGAUCAUUUUCUGUGGAUUAUAUAUGCCUAUCCUAAUACUGGAGAAAUAUGCCUACAAAAUCUGGGACCCUAGACAAAAUGGUGUGCCACCAAUGCCAGUGUGUAACAUAAUCUAAAAUACUUUGUGGUUUUGUUUUAAAUUUGCGAGGCUUGAUCCAUUUAGGAAUGCCAAGGACUGUGGAUCAGUGAACUGGUGAUGUGUUCAUCCAGAUUGCUAAACUAGAAUGAAAAUGAAGAUGGAGUAGGUGGAAAUCAGCUAUUGCAUCAGAUAAUUCAUGCAAAUUGGCUCUUUAAGAACCAGCUGAAACCAGCCUUAUUUGCAUCCCGAACAGGGGCUUACCUAGAACUAUAUUCAAGAUUUCAUAGUAUUGCCACUGAAUACAGAUAGUAUUUUAUUCUUCGCCAUAGGGUAAACAUAGUACCAAAGUAAUAAUCUAGUAUGCCUUUAUGCUGAGCAUCACUGAAUUUUAUAUUUUCUUUUAAAUGUAACUCCCUCUAAACUGUGCCAUAACAAAAUGUCAGGGAGCAAAAUGAUAGGCAGGAUUGUCUUCUCAAAUACAAACAGCUGCCUUGAUAAAAGAAAGCACUGCUCUUCUGGAGGGUGAUUUCAGCACUCUCUUGAGUGUUUUAAAGUCCUGCAUGAGCAUGUGAGACUUGAGAUCAUUUUCAAAUUGAAACUUCUACGUAAGAUAGAAACAGAAGAUAAAUUUUCCCUGCAAUUAUUUGAUAACGGUAGUGCACAUUCUGUUGAAUAUCACAUCUCAAAAUAACCCUUUUCUUUAGGAAAAACUGUUCAAACUGUUGUCACUUGCUUAAUAUUGGAUGGAAUGGCAAUUAGUAUUUCCCUCUUUCCUUUGUUUGCUUUCACUAACUUUUUGUGUAAGGAAAAAGCCACUCACCAGUACCGUCUCUACCAACAGGUCUGACACCUAAGUGACCUUAGAGUGGAGACCUGAAAAUACUAGAUGCAACUUUUUUCUACUGCAGGUUUUCUAAUAAGGUACAGUCUAUAGGAAGAAUAAUGAUUUGUAAGUAAUAAUUUAGCUGUCACUUAAAGUUCUGUUUCCUUAACACAUUAAUAUAUAUAUACAUAUUUACUGUUUCUGAAAUCUGUUGACAUUGUUGUUAAGACAGGGGGCUGCUAGAGAGACAGAUUCUUCUGUAACUGCUGUAAUUAUGUUAACAGACUAUAAAACAACUUUCACAAAAGCUUCAUACACUAAAGUUUUGUUUUAACUUUGUUUUAUUCCUUUAUUCGCUUCAGUUAUAUACUAAAAAGUAGAGGCAAUAGUAAUAGUCAGUUGAUGUAUAUUCAUAAUGUAUGCUAUGAUUUCAGCCGCAGACCUUAUAAUGAUCUUAUUUGUGUUUCACAAAUACCAGUGAAAGCCCUGUAAGCAAGGAGCCAUUCUUAAUAAAGGGCUUAUAAAUUGCUUGUUCAUGUUAGCAACCUCUGAUGUAAGGUCCCACGAAUUUCAAAAAUAGCUUUCCCUUAAGAAUUAUGUGUUCUCUUAAACAGUGAGCCUUUGAAGACACUAGUGUUCUUGUGAAUAAUAAUAGUGAAUGGCAACUAGGUCAGAUCCCAAUUUGGUUUUAAAAAGAAAGUUCGGAUCAUAACGCCUUCUGAACAAGUCUUGUACAGAAUAUAUGAAAGUUAUUGUAUGAAUGUGAAUUAUCGUCACAUUGAAAAAUCGAGAGAAAAAUGUAAUUGGGUAAAUUCACUUCACUCAUUUUUUACAUACAUGGCUAGAAAAUACAUAAAACUUUCUUCAGUAAAAGGAGCCAAACAGAAAAGUUAUGCUAAUGAAUAAACUGAUGAAGGCUGGAAGUGCUUCUAAGUUGGCUGAAUCUUCCUGUAAUUAUUACAAGAAAUGUGGCUGGAAAUAAAUUUGCAGCUAAGAAUUCAAUAAUGUCAACCAACUUUGUUCCAUUCCUUAUGGAUUUCAACCAUCCUAAUGAAUCACCUAAGAGAGUAAGUGAUUUGGUGAGCACAACUAGAAACUUCUGACCUGUUGUGAGACCUAGAGUGCUACAUACUAUGUUUCCACUUUCAGAUCAUCUCCCUCUUCCUUAUAGUGACUUAUCUUUAUAACUAAGUUAUAUCCUUGUUAAUGGAGACAUAAUACCUAAUAAGAAAAUUAAAAUCCUUAAAAGAAUUUAUAUCAAGCUAAGGCCAAUUGAAAUUCACUAAGAAGACUAAUGUUACCAAAUUGUAAUCAAUUCUUAAAAUAUUGCUGCAUGUUCACAUGACAGACUGCCUGUUCCUGAAAUAAUAAGCUGCUUCAGCAUCUGUAUCUAACUAAGUGUAUAAUUAAAUCAUGAGCUUUAUUUGGUAAAAUGUAAUACCUGUUCUUGUUUAGUGUAUGUUUGUUUUAUCCAUUCAGUUUUAAAAUAGCUGAGAUCCAAAAAGGAGACAGGAAAUGAAAAACAAGCUCAUGAAGUAUUUAUUUGAUAACACCCCACAAAAUCUGAAUAACCAAAGAGAAUAUGAAGUUCUAAUUUUUAAUUAAUUAUAGGUUAUUUCUGCUCAAACUUACUGUUCAUUGGCCCAGACCUAAGUCACAUAAAAGAGAAUGAGAUUUUGUUGUUGUUUUUCAAGACAUUGCCUCUUGGUACUUAAUGAGUCUUUUGGCCAUAAACUGGCAGUCAGUGAAGCUUUUCUGAGCCUCACUUCCUCUGUAAUCCAGUCUGUGUUUAAUUUUCUGUUCCGUCUGAUAAUUUCCUUUUGGAAUAGGCAGUUUUAUGUACACUAAAUAAAAGUGCUUGCAAAAUAUUUUUCAAUCACUAACAAGACUCGUUUUGCUAUAUGAUUUAAUUUUUUUUUACUAUAAUAACAUCAUAAAGUGUUUAAGCUUGCUGUUAUGCCUUGGCCCAAUGUGCCAGUUUGUAUACUUUUAAUAUCCCCUUGUGAUUCAGUUGAAAUCUCCCCAAAAUAUUAAUUUGUGGCACUGUUACUGAUUGAGCUUGUAAUAAGUAGAACAUGAACAUCAACAAGACACGAGGAAAACGUGAAACAGUUAAAGACAGUCUAUGGCAGGAUUCAAGGCUGUCAGCACUGAUGUGUUAAAUUGUUGCUAAAUCCUAUUUCCGUGUCACCUGAAGAACGUCCAAGAAGUAGCCAGAAAGAUCAAACUCCUACUCAGGAAGAUUCGUCAUCAUUUCAGCAAAAAGCCUUUUUUAAUCCUUUUGAAAUCAACAGGAUUUCUGCCUGCCUACAAAGUGCAGAGCAAGGACCAUAGAACAGCCAGUUUUGCAGGCAUUUUCCCCUUCUGUCCCUGCUCUGGUAGCAGUAACUCUUAAUGCAUUAAAUGUUGGUUAGUGCCUGCAUCUUGUGGGGAGGUGUAAUGACCAGCAGUGGCUGGAGAAGAGGAAAAUGUGCUUCCCAGCUUCCAAGCAACAUCUGGAUAGGAACAUUCCAGCCCUGAGGUUCCUCAGCAUUUUUGUUACAUUCUUGGAACAUGGGAUUAGCACCCAGCCUUGGUGAGAUUGUUCAGGUGCCACUGUGGCCAGGGAGUGAUGCAUGUCCAUUCAUUGUGUUAUCUCAACUUUUCAAAAAUCUCUUAAAUUCACAAGGAGAAUCCACAUCUGGGUUUUUAAACUAAAUCUGGAGUUCUGUUUAUUACCUUCAGCCUGCUUUUAGAAUUUAGGGAAAAAAGGUGUUUAGAUUUUCUCCAAGAAAGAAUUUAUUAUUUUUAUGAACAGUUGUUGAGCAGGAACGUUUGGGUGUUCUGAAAUAAUAAUGAUUUUUGUGCCUCUAAAAUUCAAAUGUAACUUUUUAAGCUGAUGUUUUGCAGACAGAAAAAAAAGCUGACUGGCAUCUGUUGAGAAAUGUUUUUUAAAUUCUCUUGCCUAACAACACAGCAAUCAUAUACGAGUGACAACUGAGAGAUUAUUUCAAUGUCAAUUUAAUCAUAAGUGGAAAAGAGGCAACAGUCUCUUUUUAUGCUACCUAGCUACUCAUAUUAGUCUUAGAAAAAUAGUAGGUAGAACUGCACUGGCUCUGAGUCAAGCAGCUUCAAAUUACAUCCUGUCACAGGCUUAAACUCUCUUCAGAAGAUGAUGCUUCUGGUCAGUUUAUGGAUGGAUCUGUGAUCAGAGACUCUCAGAAUGCAACUGUUGGCAUAGUUCAGAAGAGAGCAAAGAUGACUUGAAAUUGCCAGAAGCAACAGAAGGGAGACAUGUGUCCCUCCUGUCUGCUCCUAAACUGUGCAGAUCUGAUGCAAAUCUUUAGUUCUGGUAAGUGAAACUUGCCAAGUUAGGCAAGAGAGAGAAAUCAUAGAAUGUGAGAAAAUUUUAAUAGCUCAUCCCUCAUCCUAAAUGUAGACCUGAGGAAGGCAAUCCCUCUUCAAAUGAGGGAAUUAUGUUGUCUCUGAGAUCUGUGAAAUUCAGAGAUAAGAUUCUUCAUCCCCUCUCUCUUUUAAAAGCCUUGGAGUUCUCCGUUGCCGCCCUCUAAAGGGUGUUAUUGUGAGGACCAAAAAACAGAUGUACGUUGUUCACCUUUUGACAGUCCUAUCAUAGUGAAAAGUCAUAACAACAUGAGGGUCUCCAAGAAGGAUAUGGGAAAAAUUUGGUGGACUCAAUUCCUCUUCUGGUGAAGAGGUGUUUGUAUAAUAGGGAGGGAAAAAAAAAGAUAAAAACACAGCUGGUAUUAAUUGGCAGCAGUAGUAACCCUCACUGCAAACAUCAUUAAAGAGGCUAAUUUUGUACAUUAUAGAAUUAGUCACUACCUUGCCCUUAGAAACAACGUCCAGGUAUGGGGGAGACACCCUGGCUGAGCUGUUUCCACUACAGCUGCCCUAAGCAGUUCUGUGGGCGGUUACCUCACUUUAGCCACAGAAAUGACUUGUGUGGCACCUUUCCAACCAUAAGUAACAUAACACUGAGAAAAGGACAGUUGUUUGCUUUUAUUGGUAAACCUAUGAAAGACUGAAAGUGUCAGCAAGAUUUUAGGGUCACUGAAUUUCCUGAGGUAAUGCUCAUCUGCUCUAAGUACUGAUGGAUACUGAUUUGAAUAGUCAGUUCUAUCCAAAAUCUCCCUUCUGUUGAAUUCUAGAUAAGCUCAUUCAAUUUUUAUUUCUAAAAGUUUUUGAAAUGUGUUUUUAAGGAUGUCAAGUCUUUGUACUGGUAACUACAGUGCUAUAUGUCAAAACCCAUCUCCAUAUUGCAAUGAUGUCACAAUUUCUCUUGGCAAUAAACAUUUUUGCAUAUUA